rnacentral:rRNA from 1 species
AGUGAACGCUGGCGGUAGGCCUAACACAUGCAAGUCGAACGGCAGCACAGUAAGAGCUUGCUCUUACGGGUGGCGAGUGGCGGACGGGUGAGGAAUACAUCGGAAUCUACUUUUUCGUGGGGGAUAACGUAGGGAAACUUACGCUAAUACCGCAUACGACCUACGGGUGAAAGCAGGGGAUCUUCGGACCUUGCGCGAUUGAAUGAGCCGAUGUCGGAUUAGCUAGUUGGCGGGGUAAAGGCCCACCAAGGCGACGAUCCGUAGCUGGUCUGAGAGGAUGAUCGGCCACACUGGAACUGAGACACGGUCCAGACUCCUACGGGAGGCAGCAGUGGGGAAUAUUGGACAAUGGGCGCAAGCCUGAUUCAGCCAUACCGCGUGGGUGAAGAAGGCCUUCGGGUUGUAAAGCCCUUUUGUUGGGAAAGAAAAGCAGCAGGUUAAUACCCCGCUGUUCUGACGGUACCCAAAGAAUAAGCACCGGCUAACUUCGUG